AUGGAGGUGGUGGGAGGGGUAUCGCUGAGGCCGGCGCGGCUCCGGCACCUGACGCCCGGGGAGGCCAGCGCGGGCUCCUUCCUGCCGCGGAGGCUGCAGCUGGCACGGACCGCCGCGAGGCCAGCGAGGCGCGCGCUGGUGGUGGAGGCCCGCGGGGGCAGGGGCUGGUCGGACCGGCAGUCCCAGCAGCAGCGGCGCAUGCCGCAGCUCCCCAAGAUCGAGGACGACGGCAACCCCCGCUUCGUCAUCUUCAUCCGCACCGCCAAUGUGUACUUCUGGUACCCGCUCAACAUCGUCACCGGCGGCACCACCGCCAAGAUCAUGCUCGCCGCCAAGGACAACUUCCUCGGCAAGUACAUCUACAAGGACACGCUCGCCCGGAACCUCGCCACCGUCAUUUACAAAGACGAGGACGACAUAAUCGACUUGGCGAAAGAGCAGUUCCGCGUGCUCAAGGGCGAAACCGAGUUCCGGUACGGCUACAAGAUCGUGGAGAAGGGGAACCUGAGGUCUGCACUGGCGACAAGCAACGUGCUCGAGCUCCCAAAGAAAGAAGAGCUCAAAAGUGUGGUUGACAAGGUGAGGGACUUCUUUGGUGAGGUAACCUCCGGUGCCAAAGAAUCCUUUGCGCAGAUAACAGGAUCUGCCAGCGCAGCGGAGGCCGAAGCAGAAGCAAAAGCAGAAGACAAGAGGCCCCGCUCCAAGAGACGAGGAAGCAAGAGGAAAGGGAAGCAGCAGAAGCCCAAGCAAGGGUUCAAGCCCGAGAGCUGA
rnacentral:rRNA from 1 species